CGUUUCACCUGUCACUUCUCCUCGCAUGUUUUGCUCAGACCAUUCAGAUGUGCUACUGCCUACUACUACUUCGAUAAAUCAGUUGGCGAGGACGUUGGCAAGCAAGCUAUCAAUGAGCAUAAUAUCUAACAAGCGGAGCUUGUUGGAAAACAAAGAUGAGAGACCAAUGAGUUCUGACAGUAAAAGCAAACUCAACUGCCCGCUGCAAGUUUUGAGAAACAACAGAUGUUAUGUAAUUUGAAGCAGAAAGUUGGGCAGAGAGUGCUACAUGGUCUCUAAUUCAGAAUCAAACGAACUACGCAGUUGCCAUGUACAGCAUCCUCCUCAAAGUCUCUCCCUCUUUGUGAAGGUACCAGUGGAGGUAACUGCUGCAGAGGACUGUCACAAGCCAUUCGAUGAAAGACAUUUUGUUUUGGGUGUCCGUUUUUGUCAGGGUGAAUUCCUGGGAAGCUCUCCAGUUUCUGACAUUGUACAGAAUGUGUGAUGAACAAAGAAAGUAACAUUGUCAGCAAGGCCAAUACAUAACAUAACAGAUUCCAUGGCCAGUAUUCAGGAUUAUGGAUGGGAUUCAAUCUGAUUGAACUUUGUUUGCUUUGCACAUUUGAAAGGAAACAUUCCUGCAUUUGUGAAGACCUCAAUCACAGUAAAAACGACAUAUGUUGGAAAUUAUCUUUAAAAGGUGCAUAAGUGACAAUGUGAUCGGAUUGAAUCCUGGUCUAUCUCUCAGACAGUGUUUCCCCAGGCACCUAGUAAAUACAGAAAAGCAAUAUACAAAAACUAAAUGAACUCAAAUACUGAAUUAUAGUCAUUCUCGACUGUGGCUUCUCUCAGGGAACUUUUGGAUCUGACAUUAUCAGUAGUGCACUAAAAUAAAUCAAAAGUGGAAUUCCAACAAGCGAAUAAGUUAACCCACAAAACGUACCCACAAAAAGGAGAAAGAUUCGGUACAGAAGAGCUAAAGACAUGUUUCAUCUAAGUCUACUUGUUUACACAAUGUGCUGUUUGUCCUCAGUGCACUGUUGCACUGUUAUGCAAGUGGGAGUCACCUCCAGAGCUGCACAAUUUUGGGAGGUGCAUGGAGUUAGGCACGGAUCUUCUGUACAGCCAACGUUCACUGCAUCAUCAUAAUCUCUGGCGCCGCAUGGACCCUUCGCGGUGUAGAUGCCAGAUCGACCAAAAAUGUGGGUUUUAUCCUGGCCUCACUUCAAGACCCUGAUUAAAAAAUUAAAAAACAAGUGUGUGAAGUAUCAAUAUAAUGUAUGAAUUGUCAAUUCAACUGAACAUUAUAGAUCAAACAAUGAUAAUUAGUAUUUUAAAUUGUGAUUUCAUUUACAUUUUAAAAACCCUAAACGUAAUGAAUUCAGCUGACACAAUGCUGUAAAUAGAAGAAUCUAGCUGGUGGGUAUAAUGCCAGCUAAUGUGUAAGGCCCUUAAUUGACAAUGUAUCCCUGAUAUGGGUGAGUGAAUGUCAAGUUCACUCUUUAUCGCUUACACAUUUUCAAAUACAUAAGAAUAGUGAACGUCAUGAUGGAAGGAUGCAUUGCUAAAGUAUUGUGUGUGGAACACUGAUUAAACCUGAUGUCACAGUUUGUCAGUAGCAUAUGGUGAAGGUUUGCAUUUCUCUCUCCUGACAAUAGAUGAAAAAUAAUGUGUCAGGUUUAUUUGUCUCAGUCAUGUCAUAAAAUAGCCAGACUUUGAUGCAAAUGAUGUGUGUCAGGAAAGUCUAAAGUAUAUACUGUCCAUACAAAAAGACUGUUACUGUAAGGUCCUUGCACCCUCUUGUGGCACAUACAUGCAUUUAUCUUUGAGAGUCCUUGAAUGGGGUAAAAAAAAUCAGUCGAAGCAUCCUUUCAAAUAGAACACCCAAUUAAUCCCAAAUAACGACAACGAGCUACACAAAUCCACCCGAAACCACUCAUUCCUUUCAUUUACAGUGUUAAAUAACACUCAUAUGUGAGAACAAUAUUUUUUAUGAACACAUGUUUCAUUUUGGCAUUAUAAAAGUUUGGUGGCAAAAGGAACAAUUGUUGUGGAAAUCUAUUGCAUUUCAAGUCGACGACAAAAUCCACAAUGCAAUGCUCUCUCCGUGGGCUGGCUGGCUAGCUUGGUAGCUAGCUAGCAAGCAAAUG